rnacentral:sRNA from 1 species
GGUUAAAACAACAGCUUGGAGAGUUUAUCUAAGCACAACUCAGAGGGGGUUGGUAUCUGAAGAAAAGGGAGGUGCCUGUCUAUUGAAUAGGGACAGGAUCCCAGGAGGACACUCUCUCAGCUGGUUGAGGUGGUUAUUCUAAGGUCAUAAGCCCGAGACAGACAGUAUUUGCUAUGGGGCAGUCAGUACAGGGGCUGGCAAUGGAUGUGAGACAUGGUGGGUUGAUUCACUUAUUUGAUUUUGGCGAACAUGGUAAGAGUCAGGACCAAAAGAUUUUUAUUUCUGAACAUGGGAUACACAAGUGUUGUUACAUACAUGCACGUGUGUGAUAUAUGAACGUGUGUAUAAUGCUCAUACAGGUGCCCCACACUCUUCAAGCUCCAGGAACGGAGUCACACAAGAGCAUAAAGUCCCCAGGACCACACCCUCCGCCCUUCCUACACAUAAGACAUGUUCUCUUGUUGAGUUUCGACGUGGUAUCAGAGAAGGGUACCUAGAAUUGCCUGAAAGUGUUCUCAAGUAUUUCUUUUCAGGUACAAGUUUGCACAAUGAGGGAUUUCUCUCAUGUUCGUUCAAACAAGUUUGCUGUGCAGUUCUGGCUGGCCUAGAGCUCACUAGAUAACCCAGGCUGGCCUGGAAUUUGUGACAAUCCUCCUGUCUCAGCCUCUCAAGUGUUGGGAUUAUAGACAUGAAUGACCACACCUGGUUCCCUUGUAUUCUUCAAAUAAAACAUGAGUCACAAGAGGCUGAAUGCAGAGGCACACAUGGGAAGGCAGGAGAAUUUCCUUAACUCGGACAGAACCGCUCGUGGAAGGCAGGAGGCCUCUGUCACAGACUUGCAGGAAUUGAAUCCACCUCAAAAUCAAGGGGCGAGUCUGUGUCACCAACAAAAUGGCACUGAAUUCAGAGAAUUCUUCCCUGGUGCUCUGGGGCUACCUGGAACCUAGGCGGCUGGCCCCUCCUUAUCAGCGACCGUUGCUUUUCUCCUCCAUGAAGGAAACAUUUGCUGGAAGCCUUUCAAGAGGGAUAGCUCCUUGACUGCAGAACUGGCCAGUGUCUCUGCAAGUUAUCUGAGAUCCCGGAGGAAAGGGGCCUUUGGCAGGGUGGCAGAGUGCCUAGCCCAGCCAGAGCUCAGCCUACCUUCUGUCCCUACUGGGCUAUGGGUGCCAUGUUUGCAGGUGUACCCACGUGGCUACUGAUUCGGGGAGCAGAACGAG